AUCAACUUUCGAUUGGUAGGAUAGAGGCCUACCAUGGUGGUAACGGGUAACGGGGUGUUAGGGCACGACACCGGAGAGGGAGCCUGAGAAACGGCUACCACAUCCAAGGAUGGCAGCAGGCGCGCAAAUUACCCAAUCCCGACACGGGGAGGUAGUGACAAUAAAUAACAAUACGGGGUUCUUUCGGAUUUCGUAAUUGGAAUGAGUACAAUUUAAAUCUCUUAACGAGGAACAAUUGGAGGGCAAGUCUGGUGCCAGCAGCCGCGGUAAUUCCAGCUCCAAUAGCGUAUAUUAAAGUUGCUGCAGUUAAAAAGCUCGUAGUUGAAUUUCGGGACCAAUAUGUCGGUCGUGCCUCGGUACGUACUGGCAUCGUUGGUUUCUCCCUUCUGACGAACCAUGAUGUCAUUUAUUUGGUGUCGUGGGGAAUCAGGACUGUUACUUUGAAAAAAUUAGAGUGUUUAAAGCAGGCUCACGCUUGAAUACAUUAGCAUGGAAUAAUGAAAUAGGACGUUUGAUUCUAUUUUGUUGGUUUCUAGGAUCGACGUAAUGAUUAAUAGGGAUAGUUGGGGGCAUUAGUAUUCAAUUGUCAGAGGUGAAAUUCUUGGAUUUAUUGAAGACUAACUACUGCGAAAGCAUUUGCCAAGGAUGUUUUCAUUAAUCAAGAACGAAAGUUAGGGGAUCGAAGACGAUCAGAUACCGUCGUAGUCUUAACCAUAAACUAUGCCGACUAGGGAUCGGAUGAUGUUAAUUUUUUAAUGACUCAUUCGGCGCCUUACGGGAAACCAAAGUGUUUGGGUUC
rnacentral:rRNA from 1 species